rnacentral:rRNA from 1 species
AUACGUAGGGGGCGAGCGUUGUCCGGAAUGAUUGGGCGUAAAGGGCGCGUAGGCGGCCCGGUAAGUCUGGAGUGAAAGUCCUGUUUUUAAGAUGGGAAUUGCUUUGGAUACUGUCGGGCUUGAGUGCAGGAGAGGUAAGUGGAAUUCCCAGUGUAGCGGUGAAAUGCGUAGAGAUUGGGAGGAACACCAGUGGCGAAGGCGACUUACUGGACUGGAACUGACGCUGAGGCGCGAAAGCGUGGGGAGCGAACAGGAUUAGAUACCCUGGUAGUCCACGCGGUAAACGAUGAAUGCUAGGUGUUGCGGGUAUCGCCCCCUGCAGUGCCGGAGUCAACACAAUAAGCAUUCCGCCUGGGGAGUACGGCCGCAAGGUUGAAACUCAAAUGAAUUGACGGGG